rnacentral:misc_RNA from 1 species
AAGUCGUAACAAGGUAACCGUAGGUGAACCUGCGGUUGGAUCAUUAACAAAAUCCAAACAAAAAAGAGGACUUAGGAUGCGGACUUUCGGGUCUGUUUACUAUUUCCUUUUUUUUUCAACCCAUUGUGAACUGUAAUUGUCUCUGGUGUGGUUAAGAGUCUUCUUAAAUGAAGAUAGUGAGUAAAAUCACUACCCACCGUUAUUUUAAACUUUUGAUAUUUUUAAUUGGACUUUAUAACCUAUGAAAGCUUGUCUUUUUGUAUUUUAAAAUAAAAAACAACUUUUGGCAACGGAUCUCUAGGCUCUU